UUAGUUUAUAGAUGUCCGUACCGGAAACCGACACAGGUGGGUGAGGCGAGCAGCCUCAGGUGAACGAGUGAAACGUGGUCAAGGAACUCGGCAUAAUGAUCCCGUAACUUCGGAAGAAGGGAUGCCAGAGAGGGUGUAGGGUACACCGAAGCUCUCCCUGGUCGCAGCGAAUCGGCCCAAGCGACUGUUUAGCAAAAACACAGGUGUGUGCCAAGCCGCACAAGGCGCCGUAUACACACUGACGCCUGCCCGGUGCCGGAAGGUUAAGGGGAGAGGUUAGCCGCAAGGCGAAGCUUUGAGCCGAAGCCCCGGUAAACGGCGGCCGUAACAAUAACGGUCCUAAGGUAGCGAAAUUCCUUGUCGGGUAAGUUCCGACCUGCACGAAUGGCGUAACGACUUGGGCACUGUCUCGACCACGUGCUCGGCGAAAUGGCAGUCUCGGUGAGGAUUCCGAGUCCCCGCGACAGGACAAAAAGACCCCAUGCACCUUUACUGUAGCUUGUCAUUGGUCGUUGCACAUCGCUGUGUAGCAUAGGUGGGAGGCGUUGAUCCGUGGGCGCUAGCUUACGGGGAGCCAUCAGUGAAAUACCACCCUGCGUCGUGCGACGCCCUCACCACGGCGGGAACACCCCGUCUGGGACCGUGGCAGGUGGGCAGUUUGACUGGGGCGGUCGCCUCCGAAACAGUAACGGAGGCGCGCGCAAGGUUGGCUCAGCGCGGACGGUACUCGCGCUUCUAGAGUGUAACGGCAGAAGCCAGCCUGACGGUGAGAUCGACGGAUCGAGCCGCCACGAAAGUGGGCCGUAGUGAUCCGGUAGCCCGGGGUGGAGCGGCUAUCGCGCAACGGAUAAAAGGUACGCUGGGGAUAACAGGCUUAUCGCGCCCGAGAGUUCACAUCGACGGCGCGGUUUGGCACCUCGAUGUCGGCUUAUCACAUCCUGGGGCUGGAGAAGGUCCCAAGGGUCCGGCUGUUCGCCGGUUAAAGUGGUACAUGAGCUGGGUUCAGAACGUCGUGAGACAGUUCGGUCUGUAUCCGUCGUGGGCGUUGGAGAGUUGAGGGGAGCGGACUCUAGUACGAGAGGACCGAGUCGGACGACCCGCUCGUGUCCCGGUUGUCCUGCCAAGGGCACCGCCGGGUAGCGAUGGUCGGCUUUGAUAACCGCUGAAAGCAUCUAAGUGGGAAGCACGCCCCAAGAUGAGCUCUCCCGAGGCCUUGAGCCUCUUGAAGGGCCGGGGAAGACCACCCCGUCGAUAGGCCGCCCGUGGACGUCCCGCAAGGGAUUCCAAGCGCAGCGGUCCUAAUCGCCCGUAUGGCUUGACUAC
rnacentral:rRNA from 1 species